AUUCUUCGCCAGAUUGAUAGCUGACAUGCUGUCGAUCUUCAUGGUAAUUGCUCAAUGACUCUUCGUUGUUAUUUCUUCGAUCAAAAUCAUCAUCCACGUUACUUGAAAUGCACAAAGAGAAGCAACUAUGUAUUCUUCUUCACACGACGAUAAUGCCACUACUGGCUCUUUUCAAGAACUCCAAACAACUGGUGCACCACCUAGCAUAAACACAUAGCCAACUGUUGAUUUUCGAUCCUCAGCAUCACUACACCAACUUGAGUCAGUGUAUCCCACUAAUUUGCAUUAUUUUCCUUCAUCAGCUGCAGGAAACAAAAUGCCAUAGUCGAGAGUUUCUUUCAGAUACCUUAGUAUCCUUUUUGUCGCUGCUAGAUGUGAUACCUUUGGCUUCUGCAUGAACCUACUCACCAUACCUACACUGUAUGAUAAGUCAGGCAUUGUAUGACAAAUGUAUCGAAGUGACCCAAUAAGUCUUCUAUAUUGGAUUGGGUCGACAUCAUCUUCAUAUGAAUCUUUCGACAAUUGUAAUCUGGGCUCAGCUGGAGUCGAAGUUGGGUUGCAAUCUUUCAUCUCAAAUCUCUUGAGUAUUUCGUUUGUAUACAUUCUUUGAUGAAUUAUAAAACCCCUAUCACUUUUGUAGAAUUCGAUGCCAAAGAAAUAUGAAAUGUCACCCAGAUCUGACAUUUCAAAUUCCUUGUUGAGAUCACCUUUGAAGUCUUCGAUCUCCUUCUUGCAGCUACCUGUUACAACAAGUCAUCGACAUAGAGACAUAAUAUAAGCAAUUAACUCUUGCUUCUUCUUACAUAUACUCCAUGUUCACUUGUGCACUUCACAAAUUCCUUCUCCCUUAGAAAAGCAUUUAUCUUCUUGUUCCAAGCUCUUGGAGCUUGUUUAAGUCCGUACAGGGCUUUAUGCAGACUGUACAUUUUCUUUCUUCGCCAUGUUUCACAAACCCAACUGGAUGUGCAACAUAAACUUCUUCUUCUAAGGGGCCAUUAAGGAAUGCACAUUUCACAUCCAUCUGGAACAUUUGCCAGUUGUUCAUGUUUGCUAGACCAACAACCAAUUUGAUUGUUUCGAUCCUAGCAACAGGUGUAAAAACCUCAUUGAAAUCGAUUCCUUCUUUUUGAAUAAAUCCUUUCGCCACAAGUCUCACCUUGUGUCGAGUCACUUAUCCUCUAGGAUUCAACUUCACCUUGUAUACCCACUUCACAUCGAUUGCCUUCUUGUCUUGGGGAAAUUCGACAAGUCACCAAGUGUUGUUGACUUCAGUUCUUCGUCCAUUGCUUUCAUCCACUUCGAAUCUUUCAAUGCCUCAGUUGCAUUGACAGGUUCGACAUCUGCAUAAAAAGCAUAAUCUACCAUCUCACCUUCUUCAUUGACCAUGUCAUCUGAUGUAAUCACACAUUCUUCCAACCUUUUAGGCAUGUGUCUUGUUCUUUGAGGUCUGCUUAUGCUUGCUUCACCUAUGAUUUCUUCCUGUCGAACUUCUCUUUCGACUUCACUAGCCGGUUCAUCAUAAAAGAUUCUCACUGAAUCUUUCUUGACAUUCUCAGUCCAAUCUCACUCCUUAAGCUCAUCUAUGAUCACGUCCUUGCUGAUCACCGCUUGCUUAUUCAAUGGAUAGAACAACUUGUAUCCUCCAGUCGAAUGAUAUCCUAUCAGGAUCAUCUGAUUCGACCUGUCAUCAAGUUUUCUUCUCAACUGAUCUGACACAUGUCUAUGUGCUAUAAAUUCAAACACCCUAAGAUGACUCAAGCUAGGCUUGUCAUCAGACCAACAUUCUACUGGUGUGAUUCCUUCUAGCUUCUUUGUCGGACAUUUGUUCAGGACAUAUGUCGCAAUUGACACAAUUCUCCCCACAAUUCUUUGGGUAGAUGCUUGCCUUUCAACAUACUUCUAACCAUAUUCAUAAUGGUUCUAUUCUUCCUUUCUGCGACUACAUUCUGUUGUGGAGUGUAGGGUGGUACCACCUCAUGCACAAUCCCUUCUUUCACACAUAAUGCAUCGAAGUCUUUCGACACCUGUGAAGCACGGGUACUCUAUUUUAGAUAAAGUACCGAUACCGAGUACGUACCGGGUACCGGUACUCGUACGGUAUGCGUACGAUAUGCACCGAAGUUGUACCAUUUUUUUUUGUUUUUUUUAAGUUGGUAUACCAUCUGGUACACAUUUGGUACCACGUACCCAACUUUUUUUUAAUUUUUUUCGGAUGGUAUAAUUUGAGCAUUUUUAGUUAAGUAAAAAUUAGGUUAAUUAUUCUAUUUAUAAAUAAAAAAAUUCUUUCACAAGUUUUUCAUCUUCUUGGAGAGAAAUUGGAGCACAAUUAGAUUUACUCACUCAUUGAAAAGGAACAAGCUCAAUCCAAAGAGUGACGAGGAUUUAGUUUUUGUUCAUAAUCUCUGUCUUCUCAUAUUACGGUUUAUAAUAAAGGAGCAACAAAGAUGUGAGAUAUUUGUGGAGAUGAAUGAGAUCUAUUUGAUGUAGUUAGUAUUUUUGAAGUUGUUAGUCUUUCUCUCGAUGAACCUGAACUAGAAGAUGCUCUUUUUAAUGAUAUUGGAGAGAAAAAUAUUGAUUUAUGAAUACUUUUUAAAUGUGAUUUAUUUAUGUUAUUGUGCAGAUAUUAGCUUUUUUUAAAGCAAAUUGUUUUGUAAUUUUAAUGUUUUGUUGUUAUUUAAAAAAAUAUAACUCCUUUGUUAUUUUUAUAAUUGUAUUUAAAAAAAUUAUACUGAUGUACCCGUAUCUUAGUUUUUCUAAAAAUGUUGUACUCCGUACCGGGUACUGGAUACGUACCUGUACCUAUGCAACACAAUUCGACACAUAUUAUCCACCACCAUCAGUUCUCAAAAUCUUGUUCUUUCGACCGCUCUGUCUUUCGACCAUAGAUUUAAACUUGACAAAUACCUCGAUCACUUCACUUUUCUUCUUGAUCAGGUAAGACCACAGUUUUCGACUGAAAUCAUCUAUGAAUGUAACAAAGUAUUUGUUACCCCCAAUCGAAUCCACCUGGAGAGGAGCACAUACAUCAGAGUAUAUGACUUCAAGAAUUGCCUUCGACUUGCUUCUUGCAUCCUUACUAAAGUUGUUCUUAUGUUGCUUCGCCUGCAUUCAUUCUUCACACACUUCGUUUGGAAUGUCAAUUUCUAGUAAUCCUAAAACCAUAUUUAUUCUAUUCAAAUCUAUGAUGUCUUUGAAAUUGAGAUGACCAAGUCUAUACAUAUUCAUUCAUCUCUGCUGGCUGUUGUUGCAAGGCACUUAUGCUCCAUUACAUUAAGCUCAAUCUUGAUGGUUCUAUUCUAAGACAUUGGAGCCUUCAAGAUCAACCUUCCAUUUGAGUUGAGAACUCUCAUCAUCUUGUCUUUGAUCGACACCUUGUAGUUCUUUUCGACUAACUACCCUAUGCUGAGCAAAUUACUCUUCAUGCCUGGUAUGUACAACACAUUUGAAAUUACUAACCUCUUGCCAUCUUUCCUCAUAAUCACCAACACCUUCAGCUGCUAGAGUGUUGUCAUUUGAAAAUUUCACCAUGUUCUUCGUUGAGGGCUUUAUGUGGACAAACCAAUCUUUUCUUCCAAACAUGUGUGAUGAGCAUCUUAAAUCCAAGUACCACUGGUCCUUGAAUCUCUCUUCAUCUCUUAUUGUAAACAUCAACAACGUCUUUUCUUCUUCAUGUUUCGCCAGCUUUGCAUAAGUUUCUUGAUUCUUCUGCUUUUUUGGACAAUCACUGGAAUAGUGACCACACCUUUGACAAUUGUAACACUGAAUGUGACUCUUGUCUGACUUUUGACCACCACCUCUUCCUCUACCUGCAACACCACCUCUUUAGUUGCCUUGGUUCCAGUAUUUUCUCUGAUUCGACCAAUUUCCUUCUUGUUGAUUUCGACCCGUCGAAUUGUUGUAACCUCCUCUACCUUUGGUGCCAUUCCAACUUCCUUUGCCUUUUCUUUCUUGUGCUGAUUGAGCCUACAAAGCCAUAUCACUCUUCGACUUUCCUGCAGCUCUUUCAGCCAUUCUUUGUUAAUGAGAUUCAAGCAUCCCUUGAAGCUCUUCCUUUGUCAAUUUUGACAAAUCUUUCGACUCUUCUAUGGCUACUACCGCAUGGUCGAACUUUGGAGCCAACGACCUCAAGAUCUUUCCAACAACAGAUCUUGAUGUCAACACUUCUCUAUAUACCUUGAUUUGAUUCACUAGUUUCGUAACCUUGGUGAAGAAAUCAGUUAUGCUUUCAUUGUAUUCCAUCUGAAGCAAUUCAUACAUUCUUUUGUGAGUUUGUAACCUCACCUCUUUCACCUUCUCCGCGCCUCCAAACUAUUUCUCCAGAAUCUCCCAUGCUUCUUUCGUUGACUCUGCAUCACUAACCUUUUCAAAGUUAUUUGCAUCAACAUAUUGAUGGAUUAUAAAGAGAGCUUUAUAAUCUUUAUUCUUCAAUUCUUUAUGUGCAACCUUUUCUUGAUUUGUCGCGUCUUCUACAAGCGUCGUUACUCCUUCCAUCACAAGAUCCCAAAGAUCUUGAUAACAGAACACAACCUUUAUCUGCUUGAACCAAUUCUCAUAAUUGUUGUUCUUGAGAAUCGGAAGAUUUGCUGGAAAAUACCCAUUUGGAUGAUUCGUUGCCAUGGUGAUUUUCUUUCCACAAAUCGUUUCAACCGGAGCUCUUGAUACCAGAUGUUGGAAACCCCCCAAAAUCUAUGGAGAAUUUCAAUCAAUCUUGAUGAACACGAUUUUUAUCACCCACGCAAUAGCAAUGAAAAGAAAGAACAAUGGAGAAAGAAAGAGUGUAAAGAACGACGAAGGAGAAGAAGAAUUAAAUUCUGUAGAGUUUCUCUCUGCCCACAAACAGUGGAAAACUUCUUAUUCACUUUGCAACUGCAAAAUACUGUGAAUACAAUGUUAUGAAUGAUCUAUUCACCUCUUUACAAAAAUAAGGGUUACUCCUUCUAUUUAUAGAUUUAGGUUAAUUUGGACCUCAAGGCAAAACCCCAAACUAUAAAAGCCCAAAAUAGCUAACACUACUAAAAUAGGCAUAAGUCGAAAUCCUAUGUGAAGCAACAUGCUUCGACACUUCUACACUUCAACACUAACACGACUCAAUCACACUAGGUGGUUCAAAACUUCCUUGUUCAGUCGAGCAACCUGCUUCGACACAAGGAAUUACAAUUCAACACUCUUUGGGAGUACAGACAAUCAGGUACAGGAGUAGUCGAUUGAGUUAGAGGAUGGCGACGAUACCUCUUUAGAUUUUACCAUUGAGUCUUAGAGAAGUCGCUCUGAUAUGUAUCACUGGGGAUGUGAUGUCAUUCGCUAUUUGUGUUAUGCUUUAUUUAUGUUGGAGUCUUGGUUGUUGAGACUUUUAUGUCGAACUUGUUUACUUCCGUUGUUUAGUUUCACAUGACUAUUUCGUAUUUGAUGCUUUAUGCUAUGAUAAAGCAUGCGUGUCACUCUAAUCAUGGAUUUUUAUUUGAAUUAUUUUAUUAAAUGUCGAGUUGGAGAUUAAGGUGUUACAUUAUGAAUGAGUGUGAGACUAUGAUGUUGUUGACUGUGUAUUGAAUGAGUGUUAUGUUGUAUGUUCUCUACUUUAGCAUUGUUUUCACUAUUUAUAUUGAAUGUUGUUUCUCAUCCUAUUUGUUUCAUGUUGUCCACCAUGGACAUCUUGUAGAUACUCAAGACCCAUUAUUAUUGUUGUGUGUGGAAGGUGGUUUGUUAAACCUACUAUUCACUUUUAUUUAUCGCUUUAUCAUACAUUAGUGGUUUUUAGUGCUCUGAUUGUGUAACAUUGAGGAUACAAAUUUGCUAUAUUUUAUGUUGAUAUUGAUUUUGUUGUUUUGAAGUUUAUUACUUUAUUUAUGAUGUUGCUAUGAAAUAUUUGUCCGCUACGUAGUUUCAAAUGAUUUGAUAUAUUCUCAAUGGUUGUUUUUGGUUACACCUUAAAUUAUCGUGUAAAACUCUUUAAAUAAGUUUCGAGGUUUAAGAUGUUAUACAUAUAAUCUAUCUAUCUAUCUAUCUAUUUAUAAGUAUAUUUUCACAAACAAACUCAUAAAAGACCAGGUUAUGAAAAACGUCGAUAUAAAAAAUACAUGGAAAAUGUAUUUUAAAACCUACUAAUCAAAAUAAUAUCAUUUUUUAUCAAAAUCUUAAAAGAAUCAAUAACAUUAUUACCGAAUUAAAAUAUAUACAUAUUUUUAUAUUCUUAUAAAUCUUUUUAAGCAAUUGAAUGCAAAUGUAUCUGCAACAAAGUAAGUAGAUUAAAAUAAAAAUAAAGAAUGUAUAAAAUCGGGGAGACAUAAAACUAGACCCAAUAAUUAAAAAAAUAAACAAUUCAAUAGGAUAAUAAACAAAAAUCCUAAUAAGAGUUAGACUUAAAUGCACUUUUGGUCCCUCUAGUUUGGUCAUUUUUAAAUAAUUGACCCCUAUUACAAUUUGAUCCUUUAAUUUUGAAGAUCUUUAGAUUGUUAUGGUCCCCCUCCACUUUUGCAUAGGUGGCAAUGAUGAUUAGGGUUUUUUAAAAUGAUUUUUAAUUUUGUGGAAUUAUUGACUAGGAUAAUUUAUUUUUUAAUAAUUUUGUAUAAUUAAUAACUUAAUAAAUUAUUAUUUAAUAGAUUUAUUAAUUAAUAACUUAAAGCUCAUUUCAUUGAAGCACAUAGUCAAUUAACAAAUGCCCACUUUCAUCUCAAGAUACUUAUGUCAUGAUUUUCACAUGUUCAAGCUUUAUAAACCCUCAUCUUAUACUAAGAAAAACCAAUAUGGGACUAUACUAGCAACACCACUAUAAUUCCAUGCUGAAACAUGUGAUAUUUGUCUUACUUCUAUAUUCUGAUUUCAAUUUCAUGACGUGUAAAAUAUUAUUUUUCAAAUAUUAGCUUAUACAAUACCAAGAUUCAAAAAACAAGCUUCCUAUUUGCAGUCUCCAAUGCUAAAAGAGGGGGAUUGAUAUUGUGCUUAACGAUGAGUCCAAACGUAAAACUCCUGCUAUUGUGUAUUUCAGUGAUAAAUAGCGGUUCAUUGGGACAAAUGGGGCUGCUUCUACUAUGAUGAACACGAAAAAUUCUAUCUCCCAGAUGAAGAGGUUGAUCGGUAAGAAAUUUGUUGAUCCAGAAGUGCCGAGUGAUAUGAAGUCAUUGCCUUUUGCUGUCAUUGAAGGAUUUGAUGGGUACCCGUUAAUUCAUGUGCGGUAUCUUGGUGAAGCUAGAGCAUAUACAACCACCCAAGUCUUUGCGAUGAUGCUGUCAAAUCUUAAAAAGAUUGCCCAGAAAAAUCUGAAUGCGACUGUUGUUGAUUGCUGCAUUGGAAUUUCAAUUUAUUUUACUGAUCUUCAGACAAGAGCUGUAUUGGAUGCAACCAGAAUUGCAGGUCUGCACCCGCUUCACUUGAUUCAUGAGAUAACGACAACUACUUUGGAGGAGGACCACAAAAAUGCACCUAUGCACAAAAGUGGAGGAGGACCAACAAUUAUUAAAAAACAAAUUAUUCUAGUCAAUAAUUCCAUGUAAUUAAAAAUAAUUUUUAAAUCCUAAUCAUCACUGCCACCUAUGCACAAAAGUGGAGGAGGACCACAAAAUGCAAAGGUGAUCAAAAUUAAAGGAUCAAAAUAACUAUUUUUGUAAUCAGGGAACCAAUGAUUUAAAAUGAUCAAAUUAGAAAAACCAAAAGUGCAUUUAAACCUAAGAAUUAAGAAAUAUCAAAAGUAAAGGGUUGUAUAUGUGACGGUAGAAAAUUUACAAUUGGUAGACAAUCCCAAUCCCUUAUAUAUAAGGACUUUGAAAUACAUAUUAAAAAAAUAGAAGAAUAUAACAUCUUCAUUAUAUAUAAAAAAUGCGUCGGUUACAUAUACAUAAUUUAAAAGAGAUUAAUUAUUAUGUAUUGUCAGUGUAAAAAGAUUUACACCGUCGAUUCAUCACCAUCAUUCGUUUUCAUUACUUAUAGAUUUUUAAAAUAAAAGUCAAACUUAUCUCAAUAUCCAAUGUCUAGGAUUAACUCACAGUGUAAAAUUCCUUUAUAAUGAUAGUGUAUUUCAAUUAAAUCCAAUUUAAAAUUCAAUUCAUUUCUUUUCUUUUUUAUUCAAAUUUCAAAUAUAUUUCAAUGAUUUUGAAAUACACAUCUAAGAAAUAGAAGAAUAUAACAUCUUCCUUAUAUAUAAAAAAUGCAUCGAUUGCAUAUACAUAAUUUAAAAUUCAAUUUUCAUUCUCUUUUCAUUUCUUCUCUUUCGAAUAAGUGUUGGAGUGUUAAUCUUAAAUGUCAUACCCCUCCAUUAAAUUGCAAACUCAAAUCUAUUUAUUGUAAAGCUUCAGAAACAUCUAUUCACCUAUAACUCUUGGUUCAGCAACCGAAAAAUAAUUAAUAAAAUAAUAAAAUUAUUUUAUCAUAAUACAUUAGAAUUAUUUUUUCACCUUUUUACGAGGAAGCCCAACCGCCUAUAAAAUAUAAAAGUGCUUAUUCCCACUCCCACUCGGAGUACAAAGUACAGACACCCUAACACCACACCACGCAUACUCAAACCAAAACGAGAGGACCAAACCAAACUUAAAAAUACACUCCGCUCAGCGUUCUGUUUAUUUGAAUUCACUCUCCACACUCCACACACACAACAUGGCCGUCGUUGGUGUUCUCGCUUUACAGGGUUCUUUCAACGAACACAUAGCAGGCAUAAUCACUUUAUCUCUCUAUCUUUUUUGUUUUCCAAUUUUCUCAUUCACUGUCUCACCUUCAACCUUUUGUGUUUGUGUUUCAGCUCUCAAAAGGUUAGGUGUUAAAGGUGUUGAAAUUCGAAAACCUGAACAGCUUCUCACUGUUAAUUCCUUAAUCAUCCCCGGUGGUGAAAGCACCACUAUGGCUAAACUCGCCGAGGCUUUCAACCUGGUAUCUCUUCCCUCUCUUUUUAAAUUUAUGUUUCAAUUUUUUUGAGCUCUCUAUGUAGUAUAUUUUAUGGCGUAAAUAAUCAAUUUAGUAUAUCAAGAGUUUAUGAACUGUUGUCACCUAAAGUGAUAAGAGCUUGUUUGUUAAACUUCAAGAGACAUUUCAAAUCCCUUCUGAGAGGUCGGUGCUACUUUUAGAUGUGUGAGAAUUGUUUAAAAAAAAGUAUAAGGUGCGUUGUAUAAGGUUGUUGAAGUAAAGAAAAAAACAAUUUUUUGGAACACUUGUAUGAGUGUUAUAUGGGUGUCGAAGCAAAGAAAAAAAAUCUAUUUUCAGUGACACUUUUUUUAUUUUUCCAACCUGUGUCGUACGUGUGUCAUAUGUUCGCGACACGGCUACACGCCUAAAGGUGUCCGUGUUUGAUAGGUUUAUAGUGUUAGUUUAAUGUAUAAUAAUUUCUCAUUCACUAAUUUUAUAUGAAGGAUAUUAAAUAGUUUAGUGAAUAAAGGAAAAAUGAUGGGGAUUGCUUUCGUUGUCUUGAAUAUGCAUUUAGUCUGCAACACAUUUUGUCAAUUUGUAAUCUGUCAGUGAAAUUAGUUUUCAUUUUCUUGAGCAUGACUCAUAUUCAUCGUUUGAGUGUAUCACAGUGUUAUCAAAUAUCCGCCAUGGCGGUUUUUGGACUCGCCGCAAUGGUAAAUAUCGGCCAAUAUUGCAGGUUUUUCCGCCAUAAUCUGCUAUAACGGCAUCGUAAAGUGGAUGUUAUGGCCACCAUCGACAAUACUGGCGUAUCAUUGUGUAGUAUUUAAACACUGGAUUGUAUUCUGUAACUCUAAAAAUUGCACAAUUGAAAAACUACUGUGGCUACUUUGUUGUCGGAGACGUAGACAUAGACACUGUUAAUUGUUCUUUAUCAUCAAUUGUUUCUGUUCGUGUGUUUAUUUUAUUUAUCGGUCUACUUUAGAAUCAUAUUUGCUAUUCUAAUUCAUUCAAAUGAAGAAUGGAAGCCUGGCCGGUUUAGACGAACCUUAUGUUAAUUUAAUUUUACAGAAACUAAACAUAUGUUUGAAUUGAAGUUUUUAAACUUAAGCUUGAGUAAAUUUCAAGACCAGUUGGAGACUCUCAAUUGAAAACCAAGUCCACUCUAAUAUGGGUACUAUUAUGUUUUUUAGGAGCUAAUUUGAUUAGAAUUUAAUAACUAAAUAGACAGGUGUAAAAAUAUUUUUGAUAGGUAUUUCAUUCAGUGUUAUCAAGUAGCGCCGCCAUGGCGGAUAUAUAUGGAGUUUUUCGGACUUGCCGCAAUGGUAAAUAUCGGCCACCGCCAUAAUCUGCUAUGACGGCGCCAUAAAGUGGCUGGUAUGGCGGUAUUUUGGCUCUCCGCCAUAGGCAACACUGAUUUCAUAUUUUAUCGAAUUGACAUGCGCCAUAUUUAACUAUGGUGGUAGUUUCAGCAUGUAUGACAAAAGGUUAAAUAUCACCAAAUGUAUGUAUAAACUAUGUUUCCAGUGUCUGUACUUAAUUAUUGAAAUUUUAUACUAACGCCGUACUUUUAUGCUCAUGGAAUCAAGUCACAAUUAUGUCAUUGAUGAUGAUAAACUAUUCUGAAUGUUUCAAUUUAUCAGUUUCCAGCUUUGCGAGAGUUUGUGCAAAUGGGAAAGCCAGUUUGGGGAACCUGUGCAGGACUAAUUUUCCUGGCAAAUAAAGCUACAGGUGGGUUGUUUCUCUCCAAGGUUUUAAAUUAUGGCCAGCAAUCAUAAUUGCGGUCAUAAUAUCAAUGAUUUUUGGAAUUUCCAUGUUUGCGUUGUGACUGCAAUUGCGGCUAUAAUAUCAAAUAUUUUAGUCUUAUUUUCCCUGUCACACAAAACAUCUAAUGAUUGUUUAAAAACUUCAAAUGACAAACAUCAUUUCAGGACAGAAGACUGGUGGACAAGAACUUGUUGGUGGACUUGAUUGUACUGUACACAGAAAUUUCUUUGGCAGCCAGGUAAUGCAUGUAUUUGAUGUAUCUGCUUUUAUGGAGUAGCAAUAUCAGAGAACACAAUCAGUUUAUUUUAUUUUAUUUCCUUUUCUCUUAUUCUUUUUACUUUAACUUUUGCUUUUUACUUUAAUCAUCAGAUCCUUUAAUUGAUUGAUUUGAUUAUAUUUAGCAUGAUCCUUUAAUUGAUCAAGUCCAUUAUCUCUUUCCAUGUUAGUAAAGAUCUUAUCAAUUAGGAUCUCUUUCCUUGUUAAUAAGUUUGUAUUAAAAAUUUAAAAUGAAUGAGUGUUGUUGAAAUAUAGUGGUAUAAAGUUAUUAGUAGAGCUCAUUUUAUAAUUAUUUUUGAGCUGUUAGAUUAGAGGAAGUGGGUGCGUAUUAAGUAUUAAUAUUAAAAAGUUAUAAAUGAGUGAUGUGUAACAGGGAGAACCACUUAGAGGAACUACCAUUGCAGAUGCUAUAAGGUGACUGACUUGUACAAAGUCUAAUAAUAUAGUUUUUCUGAAGCUUUUCUUCACUCUCUUCUCUUCCUCCCUUACACUACUUGUUCUGUACCUAAUUCAGUUUUCUUAUCAUCUAGAAGCAUGUCAACCUAAAAUAGUUACUUCAAGUUUACGAUCCUUGGCUGCAGUGGUUUUUGUCAAAACAACCAUAUCUUUUUGUAAAACAUUUAGCAUUUUAUCCAUUAUAGCUACUACUAAUAUUCACAGAUUUCUUGUUUGGAUGUAAAUAUAAUAAUACUGUUCUAAGUGAAAAUUGGUUAAAGAAUAUAAUUUUGGUCAGUUAUUUUUUUUUAACAAAACACAUGCUUAUUCAGAUUCAAAGCUUUGAGACAGAGCUUCUAGUACCAGAGCUUGUGUCCAAGGAAGGUGGUCCUGAAACAUUUCGUGGAGUUUUUAUUCGUGCCCCGGGAAUUCUUAAUGUAGGGCCAGGUGUUCAAGUCCUAGCUGAUUAUCCUGUACCUUCUGACAAAGUACUGAGUUCCGAUUCCUCUGUUGAAGGCAAAAAGGUUAGUUAUUGACACUGUCUAUACUCUAUAGAACACUUUUAGCUGCCCCUUUAUGAAUGUAAGAUCAGUAGAGGAUGGUGGUUGUACUUUCUAACUUCUCGUGUUUUUUCUUAUUUCUCAGUUUGACUAAACAAUAUAUAUUUCACUGACUUAGAUUGUAUGGGUCUUGCUAACAUUUACUCUAAGGGCACAUAUUAAGGAAUAAAAAUAUAGAAAUUUUGUCUUGAAAAAACAAUCUUUGAACAUUUAAAGAAUUGAUUGCACAAUUUCCAAGACAAUAUUUGUAUAUUUACUUUAGUUUAGUGACAUGUUCCCUACUUAAGGACACAUGUUAGCAUUUGCCAUAUUUUAUUUAUAGAUUGGAUUGUUUGUUAAUUCAAAUUUUAGGUUGUGAAUAGUGAUUUGUUUCAGAGCUAUUAGAAUUUAAAUGGUUUGUCCGAUAAUAGGAAUAAUGAAAACAUGCUAGAAUGUAAGGGAUCAGAUCAGAUCAGAAUCAGAGGCCCAUAAUAAUGUUACCAUUACCUUAUUGGAUGUAAUUUUCCAAGCUUAUAUGUUGGUCUCAUCUUCAUAUACAUAAUGAACUUCUGAUAUACUGUAUUAUUAGGCUUAGUUGUUUAUACUAACAUGGAUCAGCAGGAGGUUGGCCAUAGCUUUUUCUGGCAUCCUAAGUAAAGGCUAAUCCAUGUUUUGACUGUUAAAAUAAAUGAAUGUCAUCAUGUACUUGUAGCUAUAGGAUUUGCACAGUGACAAUAAUUUUUAAUUUUGUGUUGAAGUGCAGUAAUAAAUACUAGUAAAGAAAUUCAGAUGGAGUGAGUUUUUAGGAAAUUGUUAGUGAUUGAUUUGUUAGGGGGAGAUAGAAUUUGUUAGUAGCAAGAGUCAAACUCUACACCUCCUUCAUACUCCUACCGUGUCCCAAUCAAUCCAUAUCACUGGGUUACACUGCGGGGACAUGUUAGAUAGAGUGAUGACUAGGCUAGUCAUGGUGCCCCCACUUGAGGCCCUGUGGCAUACAUGGUUUGCUGCUAGUGUUUGUUCUGCUAAUAAUUCCUAUGUUUUCUGUCGAAAGAUAUUUAGUUCCCUUAAUGAAGAAUUGGCAAACUCUGUCUUUCCAAUGUAGUACAUCUGUUAUAGUAUAUUUCUUCAUCCUACGAGGUUGGAUUUAAGUAUACACCUGAAUUUGCUGGAGUCCAGAGGAAUGAUUACUCAGUAGCAACCACAUGUCCUGUUUAUUAUAAACUUAUUUGCUUAAGGCGCACUUUUGUUUGGGUUAGGUGAUUUACAAAUCAGUGUUAUAAUGAUCGAUUUUUUUUUUCUUUUCAAAUUUUGGUAUUCGGCCUAGCGAUAAGGGGGCCCACUCGUGAGUACGAAUCCCAAUGUCCACUUGUGGGGCUCUGUUUAAAGUCAGAGCAAAGCUCUAUGUGAAUUUGGCCCAACACAUAAAUUGUUUGCAACUAACGAGAUUCGAACUUGAGACCUUGAAAGGAGAACUCUCUCAGGAUCCAAGCUUUCACCACUAAACCAAUCCCUGGAGGUUAGAACUUUCACUUCUUUGCUUGGCGAGAUUGAACAUUUAUGCUAUUUUAGUUCUUAGCUUGACGAGAUUGAUGCUUGGACUUGGAUACUCCGAGCAGAGCUCUCUCUGGUUCUCAGUCUCUCUAUAUCUCUUGUAGUUCCUCUCUUUCACACGUACCAAUCCCCUCACCAUUCACUCACUUGUCAUUUUCCACUAGAGGUAGGGGGUAGUAGAUGAUCCAAAUGCGUAAAAACUAUGGGUUCCGAUUGCCGUUAAUAUUUUCUAUAAGAAAAUGUUAGUGGUUAAUUUGUUAGGAAGAGGAGAAAUUUGUUAGCAGCCUGGAUCAAACCCGGAACCUGACUACAUAUUUGGAGAUGCCAUUUCCCCCAACACCUAACUGUUUCUUAUUGUUUAUGGAAUGACAGGAGAAUGCUGAAGAAGGCAGCAAAGUCAUAGUUGCUGUGAGACAAGGGAACAUACUGGCGACUGCUUUUCAUCCGGAAUUGACUGCUGAUACUCGAUGGUAGAUAUGAUUUGUUUUUGGCUUUUGAAUCUUACAAUGUUGCAGUAUGACAUAUGAAGUUAAUUUCAAAAGUUGUAUUUUUGCAGGCAUAGUUAUUUCUUAAAGAUGGAAAGUUUGGUUGGAAAAGAGGCCUCAAGUAGCAUUGUUCCAGAACAAGUCACACAAGUCGGUACAAGUUUUAAGCAACCACCUCUGCACGAUCUUCCUAUCUUUCAGUAGGACCAGAAACUGUUAAAAAAUUAUGAAUGUUUUAUUUAUUUGUCAAACAAUUUUCUCUUGGAAACAAUACAUGAUAAUCAUUAGAUCUUAGAAAAUAGUUUAAAAAUAUUCUUUUGAGAGAUAAACAAUGCAUAGACUGUGUUUUCUGUAGUUAUCUAUCUACAUAGUUGCAUUUCAUAUGUUUUUCCCCCAUGGGUCAUUUCGUUGGUUUAUACAGUAUACAAACUGCAAUGUUUAUUCAACAUUUGAAAUUUGAAUGAAAAUUUAUCUUCCUUUUAUUUUGUUAAAUUACGUUUUUGUUCUCUACUGAGUUGUGCAUGGUUUUGAUCCAAAAGAUAUUGAAUGGAUUAAUCUACCUGCACCACCUUUACCGUGGGUACAAAGUAACCACUAUAUGACCCUGUGAUUUUGUCUGAUGAUCUUUUAUGUUCAACCCAUCUUUAAACCAAAAUCAAAAUUUCACAUUUAUAACCAUACUCACAUUUGAUUCAAUGGCAUCAGUAAGUUAAAUGCUUCUAUUUUUAAGUUGAAUAGGUUUAACAUACCUAUAUGUAUGUAUGAAAGUCGUGAUUUGCAAUGUAAAAGAUUAAAUGCAAUAUUGUGUGCAACAAAAAUGUCUUUUGUCCAAUUUUGAACCUCUUGAUAAAUGGAUUCGUAAUACAAAAAUGACGUAGAGAAAGUAAAACAACACAGUCAGCACAGCGCACAAUAAUAUAGUAAACAAACAGAAACUCUAAGUUAGGAAAUAAAGAAGAACAAGAGAUCAAUCUAAAAUAUACAUUACUUUAGCUUUGCAUUGAUCGAUAGUGACAUGAACGUUUUUUAAUAAAGAAGAUCUAUUUAUGAUCAAAUAUUUUUUAACAUAUAUAUUCUCAUAAGUGUUGCCUAUGCCACAAAUACAUUUUUUUAAAAUUAAUAUGAUAAUGUUAACUUGUGUUUAAGAAAUUUAAAAAUAAAAAAUUUGUAUUGAAAAUAUAAUUAAAAAAAUUGAUUAUCAACUUUCAAUAAAAAUAAUGCACAAUUUUCGAAGUUUUUUUUUUUUUUCUUUUUAUAUUUAUCUCUUAUCUUAGCAAUUUUUAUGUUGAUUUUUAAAGUAAGAUAAUGUGUUAAAUUUAAAAUAUUUAUAUUAGUUGAAGUGGCUUAAAAUAGUAUUUGUUGGAUAGUUGAUUUUAGGGUUUUGAUAUUAGCACCAUAUCUAUUAUAUUUAUUUGAGUUUUUUUAAGUAAGUCUCACUCAAUUUUUUUAUUAUAUUAUAUUUCAAUUUUUUUGUAAUAAUUUAAUUAUAUUUUUAAAUAUUCAUAUAAUUAAUGUUUUAAAAUUGGACGGUCAUCAAACCAAUGAGUGUAUUGAGUAUGGUUCAUUUAUUAAACUAUUGGGUCAAUGAUCGAAUCACAUGAUUAAAUUCGAUUGAAUACAUUAUAUAGUUAUUAAAUCAGUCAAACUCAAUGAUCCAUCUUUAAAAAACUAUGACAUUUAUAAAAUUUUAAAAUUUUAAAAUAUUAAAGUAGUAUAAAAUACAAAUAUAAAUAAAUUUUGAACAAAAUCUAACUGUAACAUAAAUAUAAUAACAAAAUAAUUGGCAGUGUUUAAUUUCAACGAGGGAAAAUUGUUUCGAGUAAGUUUUGAACAAAGUCUAUUUAUAUUUAUAUUUAAUUUUUUAAAUUAUCAAAACGACGUAGUUUUGUUUUGAAAAAAAAAGUAAACAUUUAACCCACCAAUUUUUUUAAUAUAUAUUAAAAAAUCACAAUACAUGAUACAAAUAAUUUAUUAAAAAAUACAUUAAAAAACUUAAAUGAUAAAAUAUAUAAAAAUACAUUAAAAAACUUAAAUGUUAAAAUAUAUUACCCACACAAAAUACAAGAAAAAGAUAUAUUUAAAAUAUUUUUCAAUUGAUGUUAUUCUCUUGCCCAUAAUGUUGCCAUAUAUGUUAUAUCAAGUCUUGUUGAAGGUGUCGAUGAAUUUGUUUAUCACAAAUUGAUUAUGUGCUAGAAUACUUCUAAGUGACAAGAUCGUGUUGGGUUACAUAUGAUCGUAAAUUGGAAUUGAAGAACUUCAAAUAUUCGUUCAAUAUCCUUUAUUGUCCCUUCUUGAUAUAAGGCAAACAAUUUUCUCUUAUCCCCUUGUGGUAUCGGGAUACUUUUCACAAACGUGAUCCAUUUAGGAUAAAUUUCAUUUGAUAGAUAAUUACUCUUGUUGUAUUCAGUAUGAUUGAUUGUAUAAUGAACAUCAAGAGUUCUCCCUUGCAGAACAUCGUUGAAGAUAUUGGAUUUGUUCAACACUUAAUAUCGCUGUUUGAAUCCGCUACUCCAAAGAAUGCAUGUAAAAUCUAUAAGUCGUGUGAAGCCACUGCUUCAAGCAUAAUCGUUAAUUUCUCAUGAUCGCCUCAAAUGUAUUGUCCUUUCAAUGCAACAGGACAAUUUUUCCCUUUCAAAUGCAUAUAAUCAUGCUUUCUAACAUACUUGGAAAUCUUUGGGCCUCCUCCAUUAGCAUUAAGCAUUCAAUGUCUUCAAUUUUUGGCCUUCAUAAAUAUUAUGCCCCCAAGAUGCCAAUCACACCCCUUAUAAACUCAUCAAUAUAUUUUAGUGUCGUGGUUUCACCAAUUCUCAGAUAGUCAUCCAUACUGUUAGCAUAUGCUUCAUAUGCCAAUAUACAUAUAACAAUAUUGUAUUUCUGUUGCAGUGAAAUACUUAUCUACCAGUUGCAUCAACCUUCAUUAAAAAUACUCAUCAUAUUGACACAGUUUCAAUAAUAUGAAGGAACACAUGUUUAUGCAUUCAGAACCUUUGAUGGAACUGCUCAUUCAUGUAUACUUGAGUUUUUAAAUAAUAAUCAUUGAAUAAUCGAUCAUGUCUCUCUUCACGAUUGCUCUCUAUUUCCUUCUUUACGUCUAGUACUUUUAGAGCUAUAGGUUUAUUCUUCCAUAAACAAUCUCACAAGUUCUUCAUCUAUAUCAUGAUUCAUAUAAUCCAUGAACAUUUCUGCAAUGUUGGAAGGAUUAGAAGGAUCCAUAUGAAAAGAAGUUUGAUAUUGAGUAAAAGAUGAUAACAUACUGUAGAGAAUGGAAAGUGGUUGGAAAGAACUAUGAAAUUUAUUGUGCAUGUUAAUACUAUUUAUAGGACUAGUUUGUAAUAACAAGUUUGAAUAACUACUAAUUUGACUUUGCAUAACGACUAAUUUGAAUAACAAUUAGUCAUAAGAAAACAUAAUUAAAUUUUAAGAAUACAUAAUCACACUAAAAAAUCCAAAAUACAUAAUCAUAUCAUUUAAGUCCAUAUUUUUCUCUAAUCAUAUCAUUUAAGUCCAUAUUUUUCUCUAAUCAUAUCGCACAAGAAUUCAUGAACUUGUAGUUGUCUUUUAUUCAUAUUUGAUGUAUCUUUUGUGAGUAUAUACAAAUUAUUGAUCUUCAACUUUCCCUAAAUAUUCUCUGCAUUCUUAAUCUUUGCAUCGACUUUUUUUCUCCAUCUCAACUUUUUCACCCUCAAUACGUAUAUAGCCUUGUGCAAACACUAACAUCAAAUCAAUUUUUUUAAAGUAAUCUUUCAAAUAAUCAUAUUUGAUAUUGGGAGUAGUAGACAUUUCCACAAGCUUUUCUGUAGAGCCCCGUGCAAACACUAACAUCAAAUCAUUUUUUUUAAAGUAAUCUUUCAAAUAAUCAUAUUUGGUAUUGGGAGUAGUAGACAUUUCCACAAACUUUUCUUUCUCCUUCCUUUUGACUUCCUUUUGAAUGAUUUAAGGACAUGACAAAGUGGGUGAUGUUGGAUUCUAUUCGCAACUUGUUGGUGUCAACGGAUUAAAAGAUGAAGAAUAUGCUCCUGGAACUGAAUUCUUUGUUAUUUUUGUAGAAGAUUUCGAUGAACUUGCGAGUCAUUUAGGUUCAUUUUUCAAUAGUCUCCAUGCAACCUCAAAUGUAAAAUUUUAACCUUCAUCUUGGAAAUAGAUUUUAUAUGUAGUUUACAUGAUAUUGCUCACGGAGCUUCUGCUUUGUUGUGCAGACACAACAUGCUUGUAGCAUCCAACAAUUUUUUAAACAAAUGAGUUAAUUUUGUGUUAUCGAUUUUAACUCUUAUAAUUGAUGUCAUAAUGUUUGUUGUAAUCUUUGUCAAUUUUCUUCCAAAAACUAUCUCCUUUUUAUUCAAUCCUAAUAAUUGAAUCCUUUGAAAUGCUGAGACAUGAUUGCAUGAAAACUUCAUCCUUUUUUUGUUGGAAUAUUUAUUUAGAAGUAUUCACAACCGGUACAUAUGCAACUUCUUCACCAAGGUUAAUAGUUUCUAAUCUACUUUGAAUGCAAAAUUACGGUGUCUCAUGUUCUUGAUCAUUUGAUUGGACAUCUAUACUAUCUAUUUGAGCCCUAUGAGGAAUAAUGGAGUUAGUUGAUAGAGAUGUAAAUUAUUGUUAUUCAUAUGGAUAAGGUGAUGUAUGCUAUGAGUAAUUUUUAAAGUGUGAGUUGUUUUGUGGAUUUGAGAUAAAAGGAGAGUUUUAAAUUUUUUGUUAUGGCGUAGAUUUGAGAUAAGAGGUGCAUUUCCAAAGUAUGGGUAACUUUGUUGAUUUGGGAUAGAAUGAGGACUACCACCAUUUUGCAUAAAAUUGUUGAUUGAGAUCCAUUGACAAAUGAAUGUGUAGAAGAAAAAAAUAAAAAUAAGAUAAAAUAAAUAAUUCAAAAUUAGCCUGAGGGAUUUAACUUUUUAAAUCUCGCUCGAGGGAGUUUCCUUUUCCAAUCCCGCCUAAGAGACUCAGCUUUUUAAGUCUCACUCGAGGGACUCUAUUUUUCAAGUCUCGUUUUAGGGACUCAACUUUUAAGGUCUCACCCGAGAGACUCACCUUUUGAAGUCUCGCUUAAGAGACUUAACCUUUUAAGUCUUGUAUGACGAAUUCGCGUAAGGGACUCAACUUUGUAAGUCUCGCACGAAGGAAUCUUAUUUUCAAGUAUCGCCAAAGGGACUCAACUUUUUAGUCUUGUCUUUUCAAGUCUCGUCGGAGGGACUGAACUUUUUAAGUCUCACUGAGGGACUAACAUUUUAAAGUCUCGCCGAAGGACUCACAUUUUCAAGUCUUGCUAGAGGGACUCGAUUUCCUAAACCUCGCUUGAAAAAGGAGUAUCGUCUACCUUGUUUAAACACUUUGCCCUCCUUAAGCCUCAUGCAUGAGGAAAUGUGGAUUAUGAUAAUUCUGUAGACCCUGUAAGAUUACAAAUCAUAACUCAAUUAGCCCAAGAACUUCUUAAAGGGGAAAAAUGACGAAUCAGGCAUACACUAUAUGGUGGGUCAUGCGUCGUAUGACCCAUUUUGCUUAAAGUAUGAGGUUCCUAAUCCAAAUAUGUGUUAUUAAAGUGGCAACUACACUAAUAUGUAUAAGACCACUAUCUUUGAAAGCGUUAGUAUUUACCACUUCUCUAAGGAAUAAACAGUUCUUUCUAUCUUGGGGAAGAAACUAUUCUUCAUAGUUUUGGGAAAGAACAAUUCUUUGUAUUCCCACGCCUUAGCAAAGUAAUUGAAUUUGAAUUGGUUCUUUAUCCAGCGGUGAUUAUAAAUAUCCCAACUCUUAGGGUUGGAAGUGAAAAAUUCAAUAUUUUUAAAAUAUUCAAAUAUUAACAACAAAGACUUUCGCCAAUAUAUUACUAACACAAUCUAUUCUAUUGAAUAUUUUGCAACUACGAGAAGUAAAAAUAAAAAGGUUAAAUAUGUUAAUCCUGCUAAAUAUUUCAAAUCUCAUUUUUUAUCCCUCAAAAUAUUUAUUUUAAAAAGUAGUCAUUAUAAAAAUUUUCAACCACACUUUUAGUUUCUAAUUCAAAAAUCGUCGCUAAAACGGUUGAUAAUUCAAUCGUAAGUAAUAAAAUCGACGCUAAAUUACGGAAGAGACAAAAAAAAUAUGGAUACAAAAUUUAAAAAAAACCUUCUUUAAAAAAAAAAUAUUUUAAGAAAUUAAAAACAGAGAUUAAAAUAUUUAAUUUCAAAAUAAAAUCGUUUUUUACUUAAUUAGUAACAUGAAAUCCCGAGCAGAUUAUUAAGACAUAGUUCUCAAUGUAAUAAAGUAUAUAUAAUAUAUAAUGACUAAACCACAGCCACAAAUAUCUAAUAUAUAAUGACUACACCACAGCCACAAAUUGUAUCCAAUCAAUCACUUUCAUCCAAGGACACAAAUUUGUCCACAUUAAAAUCCAUGUCAUCCACACCAGAUAAGCAAGAGGAUAAGCCAUACCCAAUCUUCACCGUCAAAUGGAUACUCUCCCAAAUCCAACGCCCAAAAUCCCUCAACCAAAGAUUAUCCAUAAUCAUCAUCAUCACCACCCACAUCAAAUACAACACUAUCACUCAUCCUCAUUUCAAAAACUCACAACAAACUCUCCAUUUUCUAUUCACACCCCCAAAGCUCACAUUAGCACAAACCAAAUGGCAACCGCAACAGCAACCGCCGCUGCCACUUCAUCCUUCAUCGGAACUCGUCUCCGUGAAGUUCAAUCCAAUUCCGGCCGAGUACAAGCCAGAUUCGGAUUCGCAUUCGGAAAGAAGAAAGCCGCACCAAAGAAACCAUCACGCUCGGCUCCAACCACCGAUCGACCGUUAUGGUUUCCCGGAGCAAAGUCACCGGAGUAUCUAGACGGAAGUUUGGUCGGCGAUUACGGUUUCGAUCCAUUUGGUUUGGGGAAACCAGCUGAGUAUUUGCAAUUUGACCUUGAUUCUCUUGAUCAGAAUCUGGCGAAGAAUCUCGCCGGAGAUGUGAUCGGAACUAGGACGGAGUUUGAGGAUGUUAAAUCGACGCCGUUUCAACCUUACACCGAAGUUUUUGGACUUCAGAGGUUUAGAGAAUGUGAAUUGAUUCACGGUAGAUGGGCCAUGCUUGCUACUCUUGGUGCUCUUACUGUUGAAUGGCUCACCGGUGUUACAUGGCAAGACGCCGGAAAGGUUUGUUUGCUUAUGAAAUGUUAAAUAUUUGUCUAGUGUUAAUUACUGCUAAUUUUGAUUAAUUAUCACGUUAAUUACUGCUAAUGUUGAUUAGUUAUCACUUAUAUUAGUGUUAGUACUGUGUUGUUUAGUGUUUAUCAACGCCAUUGUUGGAUGCAUGCAUGCAUUUAGAUUCUAUUCUUGAGUUUGUUGGUUUAUUAUUUUUAUAUUCUUUAAUGUAGUAUUAUUUAUACAGAUUCAUUUCAGUAUAUUUUUCUAGA
rnacentral:lncRNA from 1 species